UUAUUGAAAAAGGGCAUAUUUAUUGAAAAGAAGAGAUUUUACUCUCGACAGCAGAUGCAUCGGAAACAAUCAAACAACGCUAGUUAUAAAAAGCGCCAAGUUUUGCAAUAUUUUAUCAGUUCUUCAAAAGAAAUAACAUGAACAAGUCAGCACUUCUACUUUUGCUUCUCAUCGGACUCAUCGUCCUCAAUGAAACUAAUGCUGCAUGGUGGGCUAUUCGUCGUAAAUAUAACCGAGAGGAAAUACCACUAAUGAACAAAAUUCUAGAUAUGGAAUCCGAGGACGGUUUCACUUGGUAUAAUCGUGGAAAAAAUCGUGUAUAAGCUGCAAUCGUACCAUUUAAAUAAAUUGAACACCAGCAAAACAUA